GACGAACGCUGGCGGCGUGCUUAACACAUGCAAGUCGAACGGAAAGGCCCUGCUUUUGUGGGGUGCUCGAGUGGCGAACGGGUGAGUAACACGUGAGUAACCUGCCCUUGACUUUGGGAUAACUUCAGGAAACUGGGGCUAAUACCGGAUAGGAGCUCCUGCUGCAUGGUGGGGGUUGGAAAGUUUCGGCGGUUGGGGAUGGACUCGCGGCUUAUCAGCUUGUUGGUGGGGUAGUGGCUUACCAAGGCUUUGACGGGUAGCCGGCCUGAGAGGGUGACCGGCACAAUGGGGCCUGAGUAACGGCCCAACUUCUACCGGGAGGAGAAGGGGGGGAAUAUUGCAAAAGGGGCGGAGGCCUGAGGAAGAACCGCGGGGUGGGGGAGGACGGCUUUGGGGUUGUAACCGGCUUCGGCUUGUGAGGAAGCGGGAGGGCGGGUAAUGGGUAAAGAAGAACCGGUUAACUACGU
rnacentral:rRNA from 1 species